rnacentral:rRNA from 1 species
AUUGAACGCUGGCGGUAGGCCUAACACAUGCAAGUCGAACGGCAGCACAGUAAUAGCUUGCUCUUACGGGUGGCGAGUGGCGGACGGUUGAGGGAUACAUCCGAAUCUACUUUUUCUUGGGUGAUAACGUAGGGAGACUUACGCUAAUACCGCAUACGACCUACGUGUGAAAUCAUUGGAUCUUCGGACCUUGCGCGAUUGAAUGAGCCGAUGUCGGAUUAGCUAGUUGGCGGGGUAAAGGCCCACCAAGGCGACGAUCCGUAGCUGGUCUGAGAGGAUGAUCAGCCACACUGGAACUGAGACACGGUCCAGACUCCUACGGGAGGCAGCAGUGGGGAAUAUUGGACAAUGGGCGAAAGCCUGAUCCAGCCAUACCGCGUGGGUGAAGAAGGCCUUCGGGUUGUAAAGCCCUUUUGUUGGGAAAGAAAAGCAGCAGGUUAAUACCUCGCUGUUUUGACGGUACCAAAAGAAUAAGCACCGGCUAACUUCGUG